GCCAAAUCAGUGACUAAGUACUUCCGAGAGAGAUUAAAGAUUCAAUGGAACUCUGCGUCUCUCAUCUGGAACCCAGGACACAGAACAAGGGAGGGAAGAAAAGCUCAGCCUUAAACAUAGCAAGGUGAAACCUUUGUCCUGGGGAAUAGUCUGGCCCGCUCCUUGGAACCACACUCAGACUCAAUGGACUCUGCCUCAAAUCCCACCAACCUUGUCAGCACCUCCCAAAGGCACCGGCCCUUGCUUUCAUCCUGUGGCCUCCCACCAAGCACUGCCUCAGCUGUGCGCAGGCUAUGCUCCAGGGGGUCGGACCGAUACCUGGAGAGCCGCGAUGCCUCUCGACUGAGUGGCCGGGACCCCUCCUCAUGGACAGUCGAGGAUGUGAUGCAGUUUGUCCGGGAAGCUGAUCCUCAGCUUGGACCCCACGCUGACCUGUUUCGCAAACAC
rnacentral:lncRNA from 1 species